CAGAAAAUAGUUUAAUAAAAAUAAUAAUUUUGGAGAUUAUUGAUAAAUAUGAAAUAUUUUUUUCUGA
rnacentral:tRNA from 1 species